GUUUCUUGUGCCUCAAAGAGAUUGUCUCACUACCCACACCACCACAAAUGACACUGAGAUCCAGAGGUUAAAUAAUCUGCCCGAAUUAUCACGCUAGUCAUUAUUGGGGCUAAAAUUUGAACCUGGAUUCCUGACACCAUAUUGAAGAUGCUGGCACUGUGCUAAGCACAAAAGGGGAAAAAUGUCAUUUAAUGGCUACCGACUUCAGACCUAGGAGGAAUGAUCACAGGAGCGAGUACAGCAUCUUGGCGCUAAAUCUAGGAGAGGAGUCAACACCAGAAGCACAACGCAGCAAAGAAUGGGAAUGAAGGACUGGGAAGCCCAUACUGCAGGGUUCACCAGGCUGGAUGUGCGGGGUCAUUACACUUCCCAUUUACCAUGGUGCCCCCACCAUGGCCACUUUAGGAAUCACACUUUGUACUAUCCAAGGUCAGGGUCUUCUCCUGCAAAGCCCAGAUCCUUUGCAAUUAUGUUUUCAACUUCCCUGUAACCCUUCCCAUUAAUAAGAAGAAUCUUAGAACAGACACCAGCUGGUUACUCAUUACACAUUUAUUGUACAUUUUCACAAUCUGGAUGCGCCACAGAAUUGGGGGCAUGGGGGUGAGGGAAGAGGGAAGGCAGGGGACACUGGGAUAUUAUGGGGGGGUCUAGAACACAGUACCCCCACCCCCAGCAUCUCUCCUACCCUUUCACACCACAACUUAGAUCUCUCUGCUCCCCCUC